rnacentral:lncRNA from 1 species
CUCCAUUAAGCACAUGGUUGCAAAAAGACACAAAACACUUUAAAAUACAUAAAGUAACCUUUACACAGAACACACAGACAUUUCACAUAUCCCCAGAUAGCUGGGAUCUGAGUGCACAUUAUUAGAUGAAUGGCACUCAGAUCACACAAAUAAGCCUUUCUGCAGGGGAAAUAAGCGGUUUAACCUGCAGGGCCAUAGUCCAAAGGGAGCAGGCGAGCAACCAGGCUUCUCCAGUUCACAGUGGCGAGGUUGGUUUCGCCACACUCCACACUGUAAAGAAUCCUCUUUUAUCCUUCCGUGGGACUACUCAUCACGAACUUUGAUAAGUUUUGGACGAUUGCCAAUUAUUAUUAUUAUUUAUUAUUUUUUUUAUUUAUUUUAUUAUAUUUUAUACACUGUCUUAUUAUAUAUUUUAUUUCAUAUAUUUUAGUAUACUUUUUAGGCGCAUCCUUACUGUACUGUUUGUUUUGGAUUCCCAUAAGGUGCUAAUUUUUGGGCAACCCCACCAGAUAUGUAACAUAUCUCCCUCAUGUGUUAGACGUCUCCAACACAGGGAGGAAUUAAACGAGGAUAUCUUGGCCAACCUUGUUGGUACUAGGUACCACCUAUGGAAAACUUUUAAAAAAGUUUUGAUUAAAUUUAAACAAUGUAUAUGUUUUCUAAGUAAUUUCAUAGGUGAGCACCAAGUCUUAUAAGAUAAUUUCAUAUUAAGAUCUUUUUCCCAUUGCUUUUUAGCUGUAGGGUGAAUAUCUGAAUACACUUGCAAUGGAACAUAUUGAUUUAGUUUAAUUUUUAUAAAAAUUCUAUAAACAAAUGAUUUACAUCGCCUUCAAUAAAGACUUGUUUAGAAAUCAUCUUACUCUCAUGUAAGAAAAGACUUCUAUGUCAGAGAUAUUAAUUUUAGAUUUGAGGUUAUUGAAUGGAAACAAUCUACUACUUUGAUGGAGAUCUUUAAUAUUAAUCUCUUUGUGAGCGCUCCAUUUGGAGAGAUUUUUAUCAUUUUUGCUCCUUCAAUUAUUUUUUUUGAUAUCUUAAGAAGACAAUAAUAGAAUUGAAUAAAUGAGUCUUAUAGUUAAUUUCAUCGUCCCAAAUCAGAAGGGCUAGAUCAUUCUCUUUUAUUCUAUCUGAUACCAGGGUUGUUUUCUAGAGUCUGAGAUAGGGAAUUUAUGAAUAUGGGAAAUAAUAUUAGCGCUAUAUAUAUCUUUAAUGAGUGGAAAAGCCAUUCCUCCUUGAUUAAUUUUUUUUUGGUAAAAUUUGGGAUUUUAUUCUUGGUGUUUUCCCAUUCCAAAUAAAAUUAGAAAGUGAAUAUUGAAGCAUAUCUAACCAAGGUUUAGAAAUUUUCAAUGGAAUCAUGUUGAAAAUAUAGGCCCAUUUGGGGAUAACAUAUGCUUUUAUUGUGUUGACUCUUCCCCACCAGGAAAUUUCUAAGGGGCGACAUUCUUUUCAAGUUUUAUUUGUGUAUUUUAUCAUUUUUAGAAAAUUAGUCUCCACUAUUUUUUGAGGAUUUGCCGUAUUAGUAAUUCGUAAAUAUUGGAACUCUUUUUUAGUCCAUUGGAAAUUAUAUUUCUCUUGAAGAGAACCUAACAUAUACAAAUUUAGAUUAACUGUUAAAGCAAUAUGUAGCUGAGAGCUGAUUUUCCACAGGUUAUCUCCACUCAAGAUCCAAGUGAGGCACAGGAACAAGUAUUAAAAAUCCAUAUGGCAAUAAUUCCAGCAGGCAAGACAAUCCAAUAAUAUCCCAACAUGAAUCCCAAUGACUGGACGACACACAGCUUCAGGAGCAGAACUGAACUUUUAAGCACUCAACCUUCUUUUAAAGCGUUCUCCCACUCAAGGGAGGGAUUUACAGUAAUUACACAAUACACCAAUCAUACAUGAGUUGCCACCCACACAUCCCCUUCCUUAGUAUGACACAUAAUCCCAUUAUGCAGGACACAGUUCCCCUGGUUUUCUGGAUGUACCCCUAAACAUAUUACAUCGCCUGGUAGUCCUGAUCUGGGUGAGGCACAUAUCCAAAAAUAACCCAGAUCGGACCAGGGGUUAGGGAAAUUCCUGGAUGUAAUAAAAAGACCGACCGCGCUGGAGUUAACAGCCAAAAAGGAUUCCACACAUUUUGGCCCUGUGGUCGGUCAUAGAAAAAGGGAAUGAAACACACAGCUUGGGUUAUGAAGACUGGGGAACAUUCGGGUAAAUCAGCUUGUUCGUGGGGUUCUUUCUACUGAACGGGGAGACGUUCGGUAGUUCUUACAUGAAUUGACAGCAGUGUGGAGGUCUCAACGGUGUUUGCCUAACCGAGUGUCCGAUUUGGGUUCCAGACACUCGAUGGCAAAACACUGCUGUUCGGGAGUUUAAGAUGCCCGCCGCCACGUGUUCGUCUCCCGAAUGGCGGCCACCCAGAGGACAAAGCACACACUGCACGAAUUGCCAAUUACCCAUUUGCAACAUUGUUGCGAACGGUAAUUGGAGGCACACUUAUUCCUGGGGUGGUCUGAUUGUUUGGUAGUUUCACUCGCAUAAUUACUGGAGUGAUUUUACUGAUCAGACGAAUGCUGCAUUCACUUUACAUACACAUGGCAAAAUUUAACCAAAAACAUCUGAAUACACAUAAUUCUGAGGACAGCCCAAUGCCCAUCCGAUACAAAUAGUUUUAUGAAGAUUUAUCUUAUAAUUUUAAACAUCUCUGUAGUUUUUAAUCUCUUGCAUUAAAUGAGAAAGUGAAAUGGCAGGAUCUGUAAUAAAGAUCAAUACGUCAUCUGCAAGUCGGCUUGUUAAUAUUUUAUCUAUUUUAUUACUCCGGUAAUAAAAUGUAGUUUUUAAUCAUUUUAAAUUGAAUUUGAUUCUUUCGAGAAUCUUUUGAUUAAUCAUAUUUUUAUAUUUUUUGUGUUUUAGGAAAAUUUCUCAUUAU